UACGUAGGGUGCAAGCGUUGUCCGGAAUUAUUGGGCGUAAAGAGCGUGUAGGCGGCCCGGUAAGUCCGCUGUGAAAGUCGGGGGCUCAACCCUCGAAUGCCGGUGGAUACUGUCGGGCUAGAGUGCGGAAGAGGCGAGUGGAAUUCCUGGUGUAGCGGUGAAAUGCGCAGAUAUCAGGAGGAACACCAAUUGCGAAGGCAGCUCGCUGGGACGUUACUGACGCUGAGACGCGAAAGCGUGGGGAGCAAACAGG
rnacentral:rRNA from 1 species